CUUUAAGGGGCCUGAAGGAACGUUGAAGACGACGACGUUGAUAGGCCGGGUGUGUAAGCGCAGCGAUGCGUUGAGCUAACCGGUACUAAUGAACCGUGAGGCUUAACCUU
rnacentral:rRNA from 1 species